rnacentral:ncRNA from 2 species
CUUUCAUCAAGAGCAGUUGAGGGAAUGGCCCAAUGAAGCUGCGGCAACCAUUCACUUUGUGAAACGGUGCCAACUCCACAGGAUUAAUUCCUGGUAGAUGAAGC